rfam:Yarrowia lipolytica complete mitochondrial genome, strain W29
AGUAACAUAGUGUAAUGGUAUCACAUCAGGCUCAUAAUCUGAUAAUAUUUGGUUCGAAUCCAUUUGUUGCUA